rnacentral:rRNA from 1 species
AUUGAACGCUGGCGGAAUGCUUUACACAUGCAAGUCGAACGGCAGCACGGGGCAACCUGGUGGCGAGUGGCGAACGGGUGAGUAAUACAUCGGAACGUGCCCAAUCGUGGGGGAUAACGUAGCGAAAGUUACGCUAAUACCGCAUACGAUCUACGGAUGAAAGCGGGGGAUCGCAAGACCUCGCGCGAAUGGAGCGGCCGAUGUCAGAUUAGGUAGUUGGUGGGGUAAAGGCUCACCAAGCCAAUGAUCUGUAGCUGGUCUGAGAGGACGACCAGCCACACUGGAACUGAGACACGGUCCAGACUCCUACGGGAGGCAGCAGUGGGGAAUUUUGGACAAUGGGCGCAAGCCUGAUCCAGCCAUUCCGCGUGCAGGAUGAAGGCCUCGGUUGUAAC